AGCUCCAAAAGCGUAUAUUAAAGUUGUUGCAGUUAAAAAGCUCGUAGUUGAACCUUGGGCUUGGCUGGCCGGUCCAUCUUUUUUGAUGCGUACUGGACCCAGCCGAGCCUUUCCUUCUGGCUAGCCUUUUUGGCGAACCAGGACUUUUACUUUGAAAAAAUUAGAGUGUUCAAAGCAGGCCUUUGCUCGAAUAUAUUAGCAUGGAAUAAUAGAAUAGGACGUUAUGGUUCUAUUUUGUUGGUUUCUAGGACCAUCGUAAUGAUUAAUAGGGACGGUCGGGGGUAUCAGUAUUCAGUAGUCAGAGGUGAAAUUCUUGGAUUUACUGAAGACUAACUACUGCGAAAGCAUUUACCAAGGACGUUUUCA
rnacentral:rRNA from 1 species